rnacentral:rRNA from 1 species
UACGUAGGGGGCAAGCGUUGUCCGGAUUUAUUGGGCGUAAAGAGCGUGUAGGCGGCUAGGUAGGUCCGUUGUGAAAACUCGAGGCUCAACCUCGAGACGCCGGUGGAAACCAUCUAGCUAGAGUCCGGAAGAGGAGAGUGGAAUUCCUGGUGUAGCGGUGAAAUGCGCAGAUAUCGGGAAGAACACCCGUGGCGAAGGCGGUUCGCUGGGACGGUACUGACGCUGAGACGCGAAAGCGUGGGGAGCGAACAGG